UACGUAGGGUGCGAGCGUUAAUCGGAAUUACUGGGCGUAAAGCGUGCGCAGGCGGUUCGUUAAGUUCGUUGUGAAAGCCCCGGGCUCAACCUGGGAAUUGCUUUUGAUACUGUGUUGCUUGAGUUCGGGAGAGGUGAGUGGAAUUCCCAGUGUAGAGGUGAAAUUCGUAGAUAUUGGGAAGAACACCGGUGGCGAAGGCGGCUCACUGGACCGACACUGACGCUGAGGCGCGAAAGCGUGGGGAGCAAACAGG
rnacentral:rRNA from 1 species